rnacentral:rRNA from 1 species
CAGCCGCCGCGGUAAUACGUAGGGUGCAAGCGUUAAUCGGAAUUACUGGGCGUAAAGCGUGCGCAGGCGGUUUGUUAAGACAGAUGUGAAAUCCCCGGGCUCAACCUGGGAACUGCAUUUGUGACUGGCAAGCUAGAGUGUGGCAGAGGGGGGUGGAAUUCCGCGUGUAGCAGUGAAAUGCGUAGAUAUGCGGAGGAACACCGAUGGCGAAGGCAGCCCCCUGGGCCAACACUGACGCUCAUGCACGAAAGCGUGGGGAGCAAACAGGAUUAGAUACCCCUGUAGUCCCUGUCUCUUAUAC